rnacentral:lncRNA from 1 species
GAAAUCUGCGCCAAAGAAGAGGCGAGGAUGUGUCCAGCGCACGUGAAGUACAAGGAAUGUCAGCUAUGUUGAUCUUGGUGUAAACCUGGCCCUAAAACGCAUGCCUGAGUUGAUUUCCGCAGCUGCACCACUAGUGACGCGCUGACUCAAAAACGUCUAUUCCGCUGACUAGACAGUCUUCUCGGGAAACCGACAGGAGCUACCAGCUGGAGCUGGCUGCACCCUAGGCAAGAGGUCACAGUGGCGACUGCUCAAGCAACUCAAAGGAAGGUGGGGAGGAAAAGAAAACACGGUCCAAAUUUACAAAUUUAGGAAAACCUUUUGCCCAACUUGGAUUGCCAGGCGGUAUUGGCGGGCGCAAGGCUCAGAGUGGACCGGACCGCGAUCUUGAUGGCCGAGCCUCUGGCGAAUGCUUGUACGCGCACGAAUACUUGUACCCUGGCUUCAAGGCUGCUCUCGCGGCCGCUUUUUAGUCUCCAAAUGAGCCUAAUUUCGAUUUCCCAGCUAGCCUGAGCUGGCUCAGGAGACUUUGUCCGCCUCGUUGACGGCUGCCUCUCCCCCUUCGCCAAGGCCGGAUCUGGGCGGUCCGUUCCCGUGUAUCUCCUUGGAACCUCUCUGGGGAAGGGGGUGGUGAACAACUCCCAGCUGCCGGUUCCAUUUGUUGCGCCUUUUUCCUUCGACACAAUAAAAGUCAAAUUAAUUGAUUC